rnacentral:rRNA from 1 species
ACAGGCUUAACACAUGCAAGUCGAGGGGAAACGACAUCGAAAGCUUGCUUUUGAUGGGCGUCGACCGGCGCACGGGUGAGUAACGCGUAUCCAACCUGCCCACCACUUGGGGAUAACCUUGCGAAAGUAAGACUAAUACCCAAUGAUAUCUCUAGAAGACAUCUGAAAGAGAUUAAAGAUUUAUCGGUGAUGGAUGGGGAUGCGUCUGAUUAGCUUGUUGGCGGGGUAACGGCCCACCAAGGCGACGAUCAGUAGGGGUUCUGAGAGGAAGGUCCCCCACAUUGGAACUGAGACACGGUCCAAACUCCUACGGGAGGCAGCAGUGAGGAAUAUUGGUCAAUGGGCGAGAGCCUGAACCAGCCAAGUAGCGUGCAGGAUGACGGCCCUAUGGGUUGUAAACUGCUUUUAUAAGGGAAUAAAGUGAGUCUCGUGAGACUUUUUGCAUGUACCUUAUGAAUAAGGACCGGCUAAUUCCGUGCCAGCAGCCGCGGUAAUACGGAAGGUCCGGGCGUUAUCCGGAUUUAUUGGGUUUAAAGGGAGCGUAGGCCGGAGAUUAAGCGUGUUGUGAAAUGUAGAUGCUCAACAUCUGAACUGCAGCGCGAACUGGUUUCCUUGAGUACGCACAAAGUGGGCGGAAUUCGUGGUGUAGCGGUGAAAUGCUUAGAUAUCACGAAGAACUCCGAUUGCGAAGGCAGCUCACUGGAGCGCAACUGACGCUGAAGCUCGAAAGUGCGGGUAUCGAACAGGAUUAGAUACCCUGGUAGUCCGCACGGUAAACGAUGGAUGCCCGCUGUUGGUCUGAAUAGGUCAGCGGCCAAGCGAAAGCAUUAAGCAUCCCACCUGGGGAGUACGCCGGCAACGGUGAAACUCAAAGGAAUU